rnacentral:rRNA from 1 species
UAGGGAAUCUUCCACAAUGGACGCAAGUCUGGUGGAGCAACGCCGCGUGAGUGAAGAAGGUCUUCGGAUCGUAAAACUCUGUUGUUAGAGAAGAACACGAGUGAGAGUAACUGUUCAUUCGAUGACGGUAUCUAACCAGCAAGUCACGGCUAACUACGUGCCAG